AUUGAACGCUGGCGGCAGGCCUAACACAUGCAAGUCGAACGGUAACAGGAAGCAGCUUGCUGCUUCGCUGACGAGUGGCGGACGGGUGAGUAAUGUCUGGGAAGCUGCCUGAUGGAGGGGGAUAACUACUGGAAACGGUAGCUAAUACCGCAUAAUGUCGCAAGACCAAAGAGGGGGACCUUCUGGCCUCUUGCCCUCGGAUGUGCCCAGAUGGGAUUAGCUUGUUGGUGGGGUAACGGCUCACCAAGGCGACGAUCCCUAGCUGGUCUGAGAGGAUGACCAGCCACACUGGGACUGAGACACGGUCCAGACUCCUACGGGAGGCAGCAGUGGGGAAUAUUGCACAAUGGGCGCAAGCCUGAUGCAGCCAUGCCGCGUGUAUGAAGAAGGCCUUCGGGUUGUAAAGUACUUUCAGCGGGGAGGAAGGGAGUAAAGUUAAUACCUUUGCUCAUUGACGUUACCCGCAGAAGAAGCACCGGCUAACUCCGUG
rnacentral:rRNA from 1 species